rnacentral:misc_RNA from 1 species
UUUCCGUAGGUGAACCUCCGGAAGGAUCAUUAUUGUAUAACCGAGGUGCGAGGGCUGUCGCUGACCCGAAAGGUCGUGCACGCCCGAGUGCCCUCACACACAUCCAUCUCACCCCUAUAUGCACCACCGCGUGGGUCCCCCUUUGGCUUGUUCGGAGGGGGGCUUACGUUUUCACACAAACUUUGUAUGCAGUGUAGAAUGUAUUUUUUGUUUUUGCGAUCACGCAAUCAAUACAACUUUCAACAACGGAUCUCUUGGCUCUC